GCGACAAAGGAGGAGGUGAUAGCAUCCGGGGCCGCGACGCCGGAAGAUGAGGCUGGCGGCCACUUCCCUAAGCCCGGAAAACCCCGGAGUCACCGCCUCUGCGCGGCCGAGCCCAUUCCCCGGAGCCGCUCCUGCCGCCCUCUUGCUUCCGCUCGGAGUGACCGGGUCCCGGGGCUGCGCGUCCGCGCGCCUCCCGCCUGACCCGGGGCUGGGCUUCCUCGUCAGCUCGCUCCGCAAAGCCGGGUUGUUUGGAAAGGACCAGUAAAAUAGAUCAAACUCUUGGCUAGCCAGACUAAGGCUCCAGAUCCAGGAUGGAGUCCAACACAGGACCGUCAAUUCCCAACCUUGAGAUUCAGAACUGAGCUGAGAUCAAGAGUGAGAUGCUCAACCAUCUGAGUCACUCAGUGCCCCUUCAGGAGCCAUUCUUAAUAAAUAUUUCAAAAAUAUAGUUUCAGCUAUGGACAUGGCUGAGAGACAGUAAUUUCCAGUUUCUCCUGAAGCUCAGUGCAGCCAUAUGACUGUGUUUGCACCGGUGGAAUAUGCAUGGAUGUGAUGAGGUCAGCCUAUCGCUCAGUUGCUUAAAAGGAAGUUGUUUAUCCUAGACUUUUCUCCCACCCUGUUCCUCACCGUUUGGAACAAAGAUUUAACUGUAACUCCACUUCAGCCAUGCAGAUGAGUAGAACACUCCAGUAGAUGCCAGGGCAAUAAGAUGAAAGGAACAUGGAUCACUGAACAACCUGGAGGAGAAGGGUAUUUGUUUCACCUGUCCGGACUAGUCAGCCACUAUGGUCCUUCCUCAGCAGGACUUGGCCUUUCUUCACUUGAUCAGUUCUGGGUCUGAGAAACUGCUCAGGGAUGGAAACUUGACAAAGGAUCAUGAUUUUUCCACUGGGACAACUGACAGGCUACUGUUCAAGUAGUCUUAAUUUGUUUAUCUUUAUUUUUUUAGUUUUAUAAGAAAUACUCUUGCUGGUUUCUGUUAUGAGCUGCAUUGUGUUCUCCCAAAAUUCAUAUGUUGAAGUCCUACUGUGACAUAUUUGGAGAUAGGGCCUUUAAGGACAUAAUUAAGGUAGAAUGAGGUAAUUUGGGUAGGCCCGAAUCCGAUAUUACUGGUGUCCUUAUAAGAAUAAUAAAUUAGGGUACAGACCACACAGAGACUAAGGAGGCAACCAUGUGAGGACCCAGUGAGAAGGCGGCCAUCUUCAAGCCAAGGAAAGAGGCCUCAGAAGAAACUGACCAUACCAACAAUUUGACCUUGGACUUCUAAUUUCUAGAACAGUGAGGAAGAAACUGACCCUGCCAACAAUUUGAUCUUGGACAUCUAGCUUCCAGAACUCUGAGGAAAUAAAUUUCUGUUCUUUAAGCUGC